rnacentral:lncRNA from 1 species
CGAUACGGGAUCACGGGGAGAGGUCCCUCAAUCCUAUCAUCAUCACUGCUGCUAUCCAUAUCCUACAAAUAACCCACAAAACUAAAGGUCAAAUCCUUACAAUCACUGAUACCAAUUGAAAAUUCAACUUAAGGUCUAUCAUGCAUUUCUAUGACCAAAAGUUCACGACUAAGAACUUCUAACUCUACUCCAGGUAUUUCAAAUCUAGCACUCUAAUAUCAAUUGUGAUGCCCCCACUUCUCGGUAGGGUGAACCCUAGAGUAUUAGCAGAACGCCUGCCCAACUCUCGUCAGCAUUCACGCACUCGUUCAAACUUAAUAUAGAGUCACAGAACAACCAUCGAUUUAAUUAAGAAAUAUUUCGAAUA